GAAGGAAGCUUGCUUCCUUUGAGAGCGGCGGACGGGUGAGUAAUGCCUAGGAAUCUGCCUGGUAGUGGGGGAUAACGUUCGGAAACGGACGCUAAUACCGCAUACGUCCUACGGGAGAAAGCAGGGGACCUUCGGGCCUUGCGCUAUCAGAUGAGCCUAGGUCGGAUUAGCUUGUUGGUGAGGUAAUGGCUCACCAAGGCGACGAUCCGUAACUGGUCUGAGAGGAUGAUCAGUCACACUGGAACUGAGACACGGUCCAGACUCCUACGGGAGGCAGCAGUGGGGAAUAUUGGACAAUGGGGGAAACCCUGAUCCAGCCAUGCCGCGUGUGUGAAGAAGGUCUUCGGAUUGUAAAGCACUUUAAGUUGGGAGGAAGGGUUGUAGCUUAAUACGCUGCAACUUUGACGUUACCGACAGAAUAAGCACCGGCUAACUCUGUGCCAGCAGCCGCGGUAAUACAGAGGGUGCAAGCGUUAAUCGGAAUUACUGGGCGUAAAGCGCGCGUAGGUGGCAAAGUAAGAUGGGUGUGAAAUCCCCGGGCUCAACCUGGGAACUGCAUCCAUAACUGCUUCGCUAGAGUACGGUAGAGGGUAGUGGAAUUUCCUGUGUAGCGGUGAAAUGCGUAGAUAUAGGAAGGAACACCAGUGGCGAAGGCGACUACCUGGACUGAUACUGACACUGAGGUGCGAAAGCGUGGGGAGCAAACAGGAUUAGAUACCCUGGUAGUCCACGCCGUAAACGAUGUCAACUAGCCGUUGGAAUCCUUGAGAUUUUAGUGGCGCAGCUAACGCACUAAGUUGACCGCCUGGGGAGUACGGUCGCAAGAUUAAAACUCAAAUGAAUUGACGGGGGCCCGCACAAGCGGUGGAGCAUGUGGUUUAAUUCGAAGCAACGCGAGAACCUUACCUGGCCUUGACAUGCUGAGAACUUUCAGAGAUGGAUUGGUGCCUUCGGGACUCAGACACAGUGCUGCAUGCUGUCGUCAGCUCGUGUCGUGAGAUGUUGGGUAGUCCCGUACGAGCGCAACCC
rnacentral:rRNA from 2 species